ensembl:lncRNA
UGUCUCUCUCUCACUCUCUCUCUCUGUGUCUGUCUCUCUCUCUCCGUCGCGCGCUGCUGUUUUCAAUCCUCCGGUUCCGGCCGGGGUUCGGUGAGGGUUCCGCGCUGAGGAUGGCCUUGCUUCGGACCGCGGCCCAGCAUUAGAAGCGCAUUAUUCCGGCGGACCGUGUGCUGCGUCUGCGCUCCGCGAGCGAUCAAUGCGCGCAGGCUUCCUGCUCACCAGGGUUGCCAGUGUAUUGUUGGCUAUUGCUACAAAUCCCAAUUCCGCGGUAAAACAGAGGACUUGGCAACACAGCUGCCCACCGUCCGCGGCGCGUCACCGCCUGACGUCACCAGCGGAGCGUGUCUUAAAGGCGCAGGCACACAAAGUUGAUCUGGACUCAGGUUUGUUUCUAAAGCGCUUGACACAGCACUUAUACAGCUUCACAUGUAUACACAGGAAAUAAUAAUGCUGUAAAAUUCAUCAGUUUCAAACAGAUCCAGUUUCGGCUCCUUAUUCAGAUCAGAGCUGUUUCAGUUCAGUCCGACAGCACUGUCAGUGUUAUUAUUGUCAUGCAUAUAUUUCCUUUUUAUUUAUCUAAAUUUAAAGUGACUCAUUGUGUGUGGUGUGAGAGAAUUAAAAACAAAAGCGGAUGUUCGAACUGUCCCUUUAACAGUGUUGUAGUGUGCACCACGCCCAGCUGAUAAGAUGUGUGUCGCAACUCAGUGAGUCACGCUCGAGUCUGACCAGAAAACAUCUCAGAUUCAUCCUCAACUCCUCUGAGUCAUAUAACUUCUGCUGACAGUCUCAAACAGACCUAGGUCUGCCAGAGGGGCUCGUUCAUUUAGUCUGGAUGUGUUUGUGAUAUUAUGAGAGUUAUGGUUAGAUGUUUGUGUUCAGCUGGAGCAGAAGGAUAGCUCACAUCUGUUCACUCAGGAGUCUCCUAUAGAUGACGUAGAAGUCAACGUGGAAAUCUCUUCAAAUAAAGUUCAGCUCAGUUUACUCAUGAAUGAAAACACCCCGAUGAAACUCCAUGAGUCCGUCAGGUUUAUGACUCUGUUAUAUGAAGGAAUGCGUGUAAUGAUACUGUACAUUACCAGAUUGCUAAACAAAGAUAAGGCUUCCGAAGUAUAACAGCAGAACAGCGUUUCAGCCUCUGUUUUUGGGAUGUUCUGGGAUAUUCCCUGGAUGUGAGGGUCAGAUGAUUCUGUAUAAGAGUGAGUCACUUCCUGUGUGUCAGGAAGAGAGCGCAGGUGAUGCUGUUUCUGAAGGUGUGUUAGCUUUAUCAGACCUGAUCGAUGAGUAACAGCGCUGACUCUAACUGAAUAAUCACCACAGAGGACUUCACACUCUGAUAUCAGGAGGAGUAACUGAUUACAAGUACUCUGGGUUACAUAAUCAGAUUACAAACAAACAAACACAAAUACUUGUAAUUAGAUUAUAUUACAUUUUAGAAUACUCAUAAUCAGACUACAGUUACCUUUAACUGAUUACAUGAUUACUUAAUAUUCACUAAGUUGGUAAUGUUUCAUGAUUCUCACUAAUUCUUCUUUCCAAAUAUUUUAAUUUUCCUUAAAAAUUUUUUUUUUUUCUAAUUACAUAAAAAAAAUAAUUUGUUUAUUACCACAGCAUAAACAAAUAUCUGCUUAAAAAUUUGUUAAAAUGAUUUUUAAAUAUAUAUAUAUGAUAUUUUUUAAUUAUUUAUUUCUUUUAAUGUAACUUUUUUUUAAUAUUUAAUGAAUUAUUUGCUAUUCGAUCUACAACCCCCCUGCUAAACCCAGUUUGAUUAAAUGUAAUAUUUAACUCAAAAGUGUUUUUUCCCCAGUCCUCUCAAUGGUGAAAUGUGUAAUGUACUUGAUUUCAUUACUAAAUACAUUUCUCAUCACGUGAUUAGUGUUCAGUAAUGAACUACACACCAGCACUCGUCGUUUACUGCUCCUUCUGUCCAAACACUGAAAGUCAAUGGGGUCCAAAGGUGCUUUGCACAAAAUCAGGUGAAACUCUGACAGAAUUUAUUCAGAUAUAAAUUUGUUUCCAACAGCUUGGAUGUCCAGUUUUGGUAUGUCUGGACACACUUUGAAAGCACAUUCAGAAUGAGCUCUCUGCUCAUCAUAUGAUGAUGAUGAUGAUGAUGAUGAUGAUGAUGAAGCUGGUGUGUCUGACUCCCAGUGAAUCAGCGAGCGGCUCGUUAGGAAUCAAUCUGAAGCACAGACUGCAUUAAUUAUCAUCCUGCGGGGAAACAGCCGUGAACAGCAUCAGACAGGAGACAGAAAGGCCAUCAUCACAGCUAAUCAGCUCUUUGAAGACAGUCCUGAUCGUCACACUUCACGUGUUGACUGAGCGUCCAGACCGUUUGAAGACAAUCCCUGGCUCCUCACACCUUCACACAACUCUUUUAAUCACUCAAGAGACGGUGCCAUUGCUGUUUCUUUUUAUUGUCAUUGUAAUUUAAAGAAUAUGAUGAAAUUAUUUGCUUGUUUGCAGUGUUAUUUUAGUAUCACUAAGAUACUACUGUAGUUUU